rnacentral:rRNA from 1 species
AGAGUUUGAUCCUGGCUCAGGAUGAACGCUAGCUACAGGCUUAACACAUGCAAGUCGAGGGGAAACGACAUCGAAAGCUUGCUUUUGAUGGGCGUCGACCGGCGCACGGGUGAGUAACGCGUAUCCAACCUGCCCACCACUUGGGGAUAACCUUGCGAAAGUAAGACUAAUACCCAAUGAUAUCUCUAGAAGACAUCUGAAAGAGAUUAAAGAUUUAUCGGUGAUGGAUGGGGAUGCGUCUGAUUAGCUUGUUGGCGGGGUAACGGCCACCAAGGCGACGAUCGAGUAGGGGUUCUGAGAGGAAGGUCCCCCANAUUGGAACUGAGACACGGUACCAAACUCCGUACGGGAGGCA